GUGCCUACGGGUGGCUGCAGUGGGGAAUAUUGCACAAUGGGGGAAACCCUGAUGCAGCAACGCCGCGUGAGUGAAGAAGUCAUUCGUGAUGUAAAGCUCUAUCAGCAGGGAAGAAAAUGACGGUACCUGAGUAAGAAGCCCCGGCUAACUACGUGCCAGCAGCCGCGGUAAUACGUAGGGGGCAAGCGUUAUCCGGAUUUACUGGGUGUAAAGGGAGCGUAGACGGCCAGACAAGUCUGAAGUGAAAAUCCAGCGCUUAACGCUGGAAGUGCUUUGGAAACUGCCGGGCUGGAGUGCAGGAGGGGCAGGCGGAAUUCCUAGUGUAGCGGUGAAAUGCGUAGAUAUUAGGAGGAACACCAGUGGCGAAGGCGGCCUGCUGGACUGCAACUGACGUUGAGGCUCGAAGGCGUGGGGAGCAAACAGGAUCAGAUACCCUGGUAGUCAAG
rnacentral:rRNA from 1 species